GUUGACCUCGGAUCAGGUAGGGAUACCCGCUGACUUAGCCAUAUAAAAAAGGGAGGAA
rnacentral:rRNA from 1 species